UGGGGGUGCUCUCGUGUCUCUCCUCCGCCCCGGCACUGCGGGGGAUACUCGGCGCCUAUUAAACCGAGCUUACCCCGAGCCGGGGAAGGAUACAGUGCUGCGUGCUAGAGGCGAUGGAGGUUCCUCCUCCCGGGCUUCCCCCUCUAGAGAAGUCUGGGCGUGGUUGGGCAGUGACUGGAACCGAGGUGUUACUUCCUGAACGUAGACAGCAGUGAUAAGAGAAUUGGAAGUGCAGGAGGGACGUGUGUCUUGUAUUGCCAUUACUGACUCUCCACGUCAUCUUCCGUGUGCAGAGGCCUUGGCUCCUGUGUCAGAGGUUGUGUGAAGUUAAUUAAGGAAUUCCUGUAUUCUAUUCCCUACAUCGGAAACACACCAAGCCUGACUAACAUUUCUGGAGGGGCAAGAUGCAAAACUAGAAGUAAACAGGAUCUCGGUGCAACAAUACUUUUAUCUAAAAGAGAUUGAUUCUUAUUCUCUGAUUAGAAUUAUUAUCAAGAAGUUGAAGUGCAUAUUCCCCAGCAAAAAUCUGUAAUUCCCAAAUAUAAAUGAGUGCUGUUAAUGCCAAUGAAUGCCUCCCAUAGCUGUAUCUGGUCUCACUUAAAAGUCCAGCCUUUCAGAAUGACCAAAGCUCGAAGUAUCAAUGAAGGAGAUUCUGAAGAGGAUUGAGAGAAACAGUAGCCAAGAAACUAGCCAGGCUUCCAGUGAAGAGACUGAAUUACCAGCCUCCAGUAGUGAGAGACACUUCUCUUGGACAUUUUAAAUGUUUGCAGGGAGCAAACAUUGGGGUAUUUUAUUUGUCAUCUCCAAAAGUCUCUUUGCAACUAGAUUGCUUUCUUUUAAUUUUUAGCAGUUCAUGACUAUUCUGAUGACGACUGAAGACAUAAUAUAGAAAAAAAAAAUAUAAGGUUCUUUUUUACAGUGCAUUUUGUUCACAACAAAGGGUGCCAUGGAUUGUA